CACCCUGCUGCCUCAAAGAUUGGUGUUACCAGUACUUGUGCAAUGGAGAGCUGUAGAUUGAAAACAUUAUGAAAGAGGAUGUCUGUGAUGUUCAUUAUACUUCUGUCCCUCAGGUUGAGUCGGCCGCAGAAGAUAAAAAGACAGAAAUCACUUAUGAAAUUUUGAGCUGUGGCUAUCAUGGAACUGUUAAUAUUUAAAAGAAAGAAGAAAUUGUUCGUUGGUGCCUCUUCCCUCCCAGCUUCGUGAUGGUCUAAAACUUCAUGGUCGUACUGAUCUACUGAGCCAGUACCCAAACAUCUGCCAAUCAGUGUUUGUCCCUGGGGUGGAAGUUAAGGUGAGUAAAUGUUGACUUUAGUAGGGAUACCACUUGUAAUUGUGAAUAGUGGUUCCAAGUACUCUUACCUUUACUUUUUAUAGACUGUAAGUCCCAUAGUAGAGUAUGUAAUUAAUGGUGGGACUGGAAAAAGAAUAUUCAAAAUGGUCUGAAGUUGCAUACAUAACAUACAUCUAAUCUAAUUUGUCAAGUUAAGAAACCCACAUUA